CAACUGAUUCUGAGCUUGUCCAGUCUGAGCCACGACCAUCAACAUUCAGACAUGUCCUGGUGUCCCCAGUGACAUCAAGAGGAAGAAGAGAAACCAGAGGAUGUGUACAUCACAAAGAGGACAGUACCUGUAAGGAAAGAUCUUUGUUGUAACUCAACAUGACAUGACCAGGUUUUAGUAUGAUGAUCAAGAAUAAAUUGUGGUCAUUUUAAUUGAACAUCAGCAGGCAUAUCCAACAACAGUGAUGAAACCGAAUCAAGCCGAGGGCCAGAACCUGCCUGCCCACAUUGCAUAUCAGACCGCACUGGUACUUUGACACGUAAGCAUCUUAACAUGGUAAUGGGGGCUAAAGUUAACCAAACGUACAAUUUCAUGGACUAUCCUCCUGUCCUUUAAACUAAUUAAAUUAAUAAAAGGUCCAGUGAGGAGUAGGAGCUCUCCACAUCUCACACAGCCUUCCUGCAACCAUUGCCCAUUGUGUGGUGCAUAACAAGCCAAUCAAAGACCCUCUCAACCAGGUUUGAUAAUUCAUUAUCUAUAAACUAUUUUUUUAUAGUUCGUCCUGAAGAUGUAAAGUAUUCGCCUAAUACAACUUGUAUCACCAAGAAUCAUGUUGACUCCCAAAUGUGUGUUUAUUUAGCCAACCAGAUGCCAGCCUCGACCCCCAGAGGGAGUCAGCCAAUGAGAUCCUUACAGAGGGACAAAGGAGGUGUAAAUGUGACUCCUCCCCCCACAGUCCUGGGAGGUGUUCCAGUUGUCCCAUAUGUUCCUGUCUGUCCUUCAGCUCUUUACUUCUCCAGCCCUGUGAUGACACAGGCCUACUCACAACCCUUUAACAUCUCAGUCAGCCCUGUCAGAGAUGAGAGGCCAGGAGUCAGAGGUCAUCACAGACGCUCUCUCUCUUUGGGCCAUCAGCAGAACUCUCUAAACAGCUCUCUGACCCGCGCCAUCACGGCAGCUAGAAACAUGAGAGAGGGCUCACAUCGCAUGGCUCACUCUCUGGCCUCAGGACUACACAGCACUAGCUUCCUCACCACAUCCUGCACCUACUGACACCAGAGUUUGCAUUUGUUCUUUUAGCAGAUGCUUUUAUCCAAAGUGACUUUAAAUGAGGAAUUAUAUUUUACUACUGCUGAGCUGUGAAGAAAUUCACAUUUGCGCAUUAUUAUUAGUUUACAAAAACAACUCAUUUACUCAUAGUGAUGUGACUGAUGCAGACAUGCAACACUUCAGCGGAAAAUGAUGCAAAGUGUUAAACCAUAAUUUGUGUUGUUUUUGUUUACCUAGAAUUUCCAAACUGCAAAACCUUUUUAAUGUAAAUGCCUGUGUGACAGUUUUUCUAUCCCACAGUCAGAAAAAGCUGUUUGUUUGAGUGGUGUGUAUACAGUCCAGCAUACUUAGAGUCCCAAGAGUUUGUAGCAGCAUUGAGGUCAGUGUGAAAAGACCAGCGUGCAUAACAAUAAUAGGAUAGUUAUNCAUACAUACAUACAUAUAGCUUUCUGAAG
rnacentral:lncRNA from 12 species